ACGAAGAGCAGCCGUGUGCUCCAAAAACCCCGACACAGAACACGAGAAAGAAUACUUUAAAGUUAAACUACUUACUAAAGGGCACCGUCAGGGGAAUACGAGAAGUUCGAUAGCAUGUCGCAGAGUGACAGUUGCAUGAUCUAACGAACCGAAUAUAGCUGAACGAUGUAAAACGUCAGAAGUAGUGGGGAGAACUACCUCGGAUACUGAGUUUUCUCCCCUCCAAAACCAAUUUGAGCGAAUCCCACACUCGCUCUUGCUUACUUCUGCACUCAGGUAACCUAUGUUACACAUGGAUCUCUCGCUAACCCGCCCAUCUAUAUUGGAAGAAGUGAGAGGGAUUGAAUAUACUGAUGAAGAGAUGUGUGUUAUACACACAUGUAUGAAUGCAUGUAUUUGAAAACGAUAGAGUGAGCGAGAGAAUAACAGAGAGAGAGAGAGAGAGAGAGAGAGAGAGAAGGGGAAGUCGCUAAUAUCUGGGGCUCCAGCGGCCGCGCAACUCGCGCCCUAAUCGAACUCUACAAGUCACUUAUUCUCCAUCCCCACUACCUACAUCCUGCCCCUCCUACAGUAGGCAACCCAUACUUGAGAGGUCUCCCUUUCGCUCACUCAUGCUUGCUCUUUUCACCAGAGAAGUAUUGAAGUACUACGUCCACUGUAUCCAAGAUCAAAUGGCACUUUGUGCACUACGAAAUUACAACUGCUUUGUGAUCUCAAUUAAUGUUUCAUACAGAACCUAACCUUGUAUCUCUAUUUCAUCAUCUUCAACAAAUCAAGUUGAAUCAAUUGUAACAUAAAAUAACACCAACAUAUGCACACAUGUGCUUUAUAAUUACAAUAAAAAUAG